CCUGUCUGUACCACCUGUCUGUACCUGACUGUACCACCUGUCCAACCCCGCCCCGCCACUGCCCCGCCACGUCACUGAUAAGGCGCUGUCCUGGUGUCGCCUUAGUCACCACGCUAUCUUAUCACUGGUACACUCGAUGAACAGCAUCCAGGGGCGCACCGGAUUGCGUUCCUGACCAGUCAAAGCUCGGGAAAGUCUUUGCAGAAGGAGGUACUGGAGUCACUGCGUUCCUUGGGCCCCUCCUUGUCCCCUGCCUCCGCCGCUGCCUCACCGCGCUGACGCUGCACGCAGAAUGGCCACUGAUACACGUAUAUGUACACUCGCUAUGUGUUUAUAGACAUGAUUAAGUUUGAAGUAUAUACUAAGGUUUAUGGUACCCGUGUUGUGCUGUCAGGUAUGCUAGAAUGUAAGGUGAAAUGUAACAAUCUAACCUUAAGCUGAAAUCAAUCCAAAUCUGAUACUACUUAAGACAGAGAUUACCUUAGUAUUACACGAGA